GACAGAGGGUGCAAACGUUGUUCGGAAUUACUGGGCGUAAAGAGCGUGUAGGCGGCUUGGUAGGUCCGCUGUGAAAACUCGAGGCUCAACCUCGAGAUGUCGGCGGAAACCACUUGGCUAGAGUCCGGAAGAGGAGAGUGGAAUUCCCGGUGUAGCGGUGAAAUGCGUAGAUAUCGGGAGGAAUACCGAUGGCGAAGGCAGGUCUCUGGGCUGACACUGACGCUCAUGCACGAAAGCGUGGGGAGCAAACAGG
rnacentral:rRNA from 1 species